AGUUUGAUCCUGGCUCAGAGUGAACGCUGGCGGCAGGCCUAAUACAUGCAAGUCGAACGGCAGCACAGCAGAGCUUGCUCUGUGGGUGGCGAGUGGCGGACGGGUGAGGAAUACAUGGGAAUCUGCCCAGUCGUGGGGGAUAACGUAGGGAAACUUACGCUAAUACCGCAUGCGCCCUUCGGGGGAAAGCCGGGGACCUUCGGGCCUGGCGCGAUUGGAUGAGCCCAUGUCGGAUUAGCUAGUUGGCGGGGUAAUGGCCCACCAAGGCGACGAUCCGUAGCUGGUCUGAGAGGAUGAUCAGCCACACUGGAACUGAGACACGGUCCAGACUCCUACGGGAGGCAGCAGUAGGGAAUAUUGGACAAUGGGCGCAAGCCUGAUCCAGCCAUGCCGCGUGAGUGAAGAAGGCCCUCGGGUUGUAAAGCUCUUUUGUCCGGAAAGAAAAGCGCCGGGUUAAUACCCUGGUGUCCUGACGGUACCGGAAGAAUAAGCACCGGCUAACUUCGUG
rnacentral:rRNA from 1 species